ensembl:snoRNA
GUCCUUUUCCGGUCCAUAGCACGAUGAUUGGGUUUUCACGUGCUGUGUGACAUGCGCCUCCCAUACACCUUGUUCCAGCAUCGUCACAUUACCUGUCUGACA